CAUAAAUUCGUAAAGCAUUUUAAUUAAUAAUUAUCAAAUAUUCCUAAAUACGAGAAAUUUCAUAUCCGACAAAAAGAGAUGUAACUUAAAGUUGAAUUAUAAUUACAGAAACAGCUGAGGCGACACUAAGGAAAUCGAAAUUGGCGCUAAAUUAUUGGAACGCGCGCCGCGCCGCGAUCGCAAUGAUUUUUUUCGCGAAAAGCCGGUGAACUUGGGGAAUCACCGAGUGGCGUGCACGGGGCAAACGAAACGCGAACGUUCGCAGCGCCAUCGGGUAGCGAGCUGACCAAGUUGGUUGACAGGUACGCAUCGGUUCGUGGACACUAGGUGGCAGGUAGGCUGGCCGUGGUAGCGGGCAAUGUCAAUGUCAAUGAGCACGUGAGCCCCGCUCGAGGAAAAAUCGAUACGCUUCAGUGUCAAAGCUUUUCCCGGCGAAAGAGAGGUAGCUGCAUACGCGAGAGCAAACCCGGGAAUAACCGAAGCAUAGUUUAUGAUGCAAUGCAAUUUUUACUCAGAUCCUUCUCUCGACUCUUCAUAUACUCAUAGACACUUAGAAGUUACAGUUUCGUCUAAAAAGUGUGGUAACUUAUUCAUUUAUGAAAGAAAGCGUGGUUGUUGAUCGUAAUUGAUGUUAUUUUAACGUAGUUGAUGUUAUUUCAAAGAAAGUGUCGUAGUAUUUGAUGAUAUAGAACGAGGAUGAGCGAUAAGGUUCGUUACUAAAGAGAGAACUGAUUUCACAGCUGCUGAUUAAAGAGACGUCUCGAAUAAAGGAUCCCCUUUAAGAAACUUAUUUCGAGAAGAUAUCCGGAAAUCAUCGUACACAUUUUCCAUGUAACCAGCACAUGUAACCAUAUGCUGAUAUCCUGAUUACGUAGCACGAAAUAUGUCGAACCUGCGCGGAGCAUAAUCCCACUCCGAGCAAAAAUAACUUCAUCGUACAGCAUGCAAUCAUCUUGAACUAUCCUGUCCCAUCACGCAACCCCUACCCUAUCACAUCUGUCACCUAACUCCCCCUAGCACCGAAAAACAUACGCAAUCGGGCGCAACCACGAAACCAUUCAAUUAAAAUAUAUCGUGUUUCACAGGUGGUCUGUCACACGAGUAAAUCUCAUCAUCGAAUCACCAUACGUAACCUUCAAUCCCCCGCACCCCCACCCCCAUUGUCAAUAAACAAACAGCAAGCCAUAACAAAGAACCAGAACAACGAAGUGUCACAACACGACGAACGUAACGACGAAUAUGAAUCACAGCCGAAUUCAAGUUCAUGUUUCCUGUGGAAAACACAGAGCGAAAGGAGAAAAUAAUGGGAGGAACGAACCUUUGACGCGUUGAUGACGACUCUCGGGAUUCUGCGUCUCGUUGACCGCGAUGGUGGCCUCGCACACCUCUAUGGGAUAGAGAGGGCCGCCGUUGUUCAUGGUGUGAUCGACGAUCCCGAUU